GAUGAACGCUGGCGGCGUGCCUAAUACAUGCAAGUCGAGCGAGCGGCGGACGGGUGAGUAAUGUCUGGGAAACUGCCUGAUGGAGGGGGAUAACUACUGGAAACGGUAGCUAAUACCGCAUACCAUCAGAUGUGCCCAGAUGGGAUUAGCUAGUAGGUGGGGUAACGGCUCACCUAGGCGACGAUCCCUAGCUGGUCUGAGAGGAUGACCGGCCACACUGGAACUGAAGCACGGGCCAGAAUCCGACGGGAGGCAGCAGUGGGGAAUAUUGAACAAUGGGCGCAAGCCUGAUGCAGCAAUGCCGCGUGUAUGAAGAAGGCCUUCGGGUUGUAAAGUACUUUCAGCGGGGAGGCGUUACCCGCAGAAGAAGCACCGGCUAACUCCGUGCCAGCAGCCGCGGUAAUUC
rnacentral:rRNA from 1 species